CCGUCGUGAUGUGAGUAGGUAUGGAGAAGAUAAUAGAGGAUAUGGCGGGUCACAGGGAGGAGGUAGAGGGCGUGGGGGAUAUGACAAGGAUGGAAGAGGUCCUAUGACAGGAUCAAGUGGUGGUGACCGCGGUGGCUUCAAAAAUUUUGGUGGUCACAGGGAUUAUGGACCCAGACCAGAUGCUGAUUCAGAAUCUGAUAAUUCAGAUAACAACACAAUCUUUGUGCAAGGACUUGGGGAGGGUGUGUCUACAGAUCAAGUGGGGGAGUUCUUUAAACAAAUAGGAAUUAUCAAGGUGAGUAGAAAGUAUGGCUUAUGUUGAAAAUCUCCUA